AUUGCGAUACUUUUCAACUCAUUAUGGAUAAUGAAUGCCCUCAACAAAAAAAUUCGUAUGUUUAUCUUUGAAUCACUUCUUUGGAGAUAUGCAAUUUGAACGAAAAAAGAUAGCUGCACAACUUUUGCUUGGCAAGAUAAGUCCAUAGAAAUAAGGUGCACAUGAGUUGGAGAUGGCUAGUGUGGCUAAGGAUGAUACUGAUUACCAGAAUAUGAUUUUCUUCUCUUUUCGAGUGGGGUCUUUGUGUGGAUUU